GAUGAAGAACGCAGCGAAAUGCGAUAAGUAAUGUGAAUUGCAGAAUUCAGUGAAUCAUCGAAUCUUUGAACGCACAUUGCGCCCGACAGUAUUCUGGCGGGCAUGCCUGUUCGAGCGUCAUUUCAACCAUCAAGCCCCCGGCUUGUGUUGGGGACCUGCGGCUGCCGCAGGCCCUGAAAAGCAGUGGCGGGCUCGCUGUCACACCGAGCGUAGUAGCAUACAUCUCGCUCUGGGCGUGCUGCGGGUUCCGGCCGUUAAACCACCUUCAUAACCCAAGGUUGACCUCGGAUCAGGUAGGAAGACCCGCUGAACUUAAGCAUAUCAAUAAGCGGAGGA
rnacentral:misc_RNA from 1 species